rnacentral:rRNA from 1 species
UACGGAGGGUGCAAGCGUUAUCCGGAUUCACUGGGUUUAAAGGGUGCGUAGGUGGGUCUGUAAGUCAGUGGUGAAAUCUCCAAGCUUAACUUGGAAACUGCCGUUGAUACUAUAGCUCUUGAACGUUGUGGAGGUGAGCGGAAUAUGUCAUGUAGCGGUGAAAUGCUUAGAUAUGACAUAGAACACCAAUUGCGAAGGCAGCUCACUACACAAAUAUUGACACUGAGGCACGAAAGCGUGGGGAUCAAACAGG